AGAAUAAGCACCGGCGAACUCCGUGCCAGCAGCCGCGGUAAUACGUAGGGUGCAAGCGUUAAUCGGAAUUACUGGGCGUAAAGCGUGCGCAGGCGGUUCUGUAAGACAGAUGUGAAAUCCCCGGGCUUAACCUGGGAAUUGCAUUUGUGACUGCAGGACUAGAGUUCAUCAGAGGGGGGUGGAAUUCCAAGUGUAGCAGUGAAAUGCGUAGAUAUUUGGAAGAACACCAAUGGCGAAGGCAGCCCCCUGGGAUGC
rnacentral:rRNA from 1 species